rnacentral:tRNA from 1 species
GAGGGUGUAGCUCAGUGGUAUAGAGCACGUGCUUAGCAUGCAUGAGGUCCUGGGUUCAAUCCCCCGUACCUCUG